rnacentral:sRNA from 1 species
AUCUAUUUGACAUUGAGUUUUUGCUUCGGUUUUAUUUUCUGUGUUACUCUGUUGCGCCGCUUUUGCUUCUGCAACCUGUAAUUCGAGAUUUUUCCAAGUUAUUCAGAUUCCGCAUUUGAUUUCAUCUGUCAUCUUGUUUCUCUACUCUUUAUCUCUUUACUUAUGCAAUAUUAUCAUUUAUCUGCGUUUAUGUCUUUGAGCAUGUUGUUUGAGUAGUGACAUAGAGUUCUUAAGGAUGGGAUAGAGUAGUUGUGGAAUCCGUAGUCUGUAGAAUGGUUAAGUUUAGAAUUGAUUGAAUCCCUUUAGGACUAGUUGUGUUGACUGCUUAUUUCUUUCUGAUCAACUGGAAUUCGAUCCCAAGCAUUCCCGCAUCCAGAAGGUGUUCGAUGGAAUGUUUGAUCCACUAGUUCCUGAGAUAUUU